rnacentral:rRNA from 1 species
UACGUAGGGUCCGAGCGUUGUCCGGAAUUACUGGGCGUAAAGCGCUCGUAGGUGGUUUGUCGCGUUGUUCGUGAAAACUCACAGCUUAACUGUGGGCGUGCGGGCGAUACGGGCAGACUAGAGUACUGCAGGGGAGACUGGAAUUCCUGGUGUAGCGGUGGAAUGCGCAGAUAUCAGGAGGAACACCGGUGGCGAAGGCGGGUCUCUGGGCAGUAACUGACGCUGAGGAGCGAAAGCGUGGGGAGCGAACAGG